AAUUUUUAUAACCGAUUUCAAGUUCUUUGACUACAUUUAAUCAGGGUUCAGGGUUGGACCUCUGCAGGUGUACCUAGUUGUUCUCAGAGAAGCAUUUCAUUCCCUUAUAGAGAAAACAUUAAACAAUAGAAUUGGUAAUGAUUCAAUGAGAGUAAUUCAUUUUAUAAAUUGCACAGAAAAAUAACAAAUAAAAAGACGAUAGGGGUCACAUGCCUUACUUACUAUUCAAUUUGUCCUGUAAAUUUUGAUACAAUUAUCUCC
rnacentral:lncRNA from 1 species